rnacentral:rRNA from 1 species
UGGCGGACGGGUGAGUAACGCGUGAGAAUCUGCCUAUAGGUUGGGGACAACAGAUGGAAACGUCUGCUAAUACCCAAUGUGCCGAGAGGUAAAAGCUUUAGUGCCUGUAGAUGAGCUCGCGUCCGAUUAGCUAGUUGGUUAGGUAAAAGCUGACCAAGGCGACGAUCGGUAGCUGGUCUGAGAGGAUGAUCAGCCACACUGGGACUGAGACACGGCCCAGACUCCUACGGGAGGCAGCAGUGGGGAAUUUUCCGCAAUGGGCGAAAGCCUGACGGAGCAAUACCGCGUGCGGGACGAAGGCUUUUGGGUCGUAAACCGCUUUUGUUAGGGAAGAAUAAAUGACGGUACCUAACGAAUCAGCAUCGGCUAACUCCGUGCCAGCAGCCGCGGUAAUACGGGGGAUGCAAGCGUUAUCCGGAAUUAUUGGGCGUAAAGCGUCCGCAGGUGGUUUAUCAAGUCUGCUGUCAAAGCGUGGGGCUUAACCCCAUAAAGGCAGUGGAAACUGAGAGACUAGAGUACGGUAGGGGUAGCGGGAAUUCCCAGUGUAGCGGUGAAAUGCGUAGAUAUUGGGAAGAACACCAGCGGCGAAGGCGCGCUACUGGGCCGAAACUGACACUCAUGGACGAAAGCUAGGGGAGCGAAAGGGAUUAGAUACCCCUGUAGUCCUAGCUGUAAACGAUGACAACUAGGUGUUGCGCGUAUCGACCCGUGCAGUGCCGUAGCUAACGCGUUAAGUUGUCCGCCUGGGGAGUACGCACGCAAGUGUGAAACUCAAAGGAAUUGACGGGGGCCCGCACAAGCGGUGGAGUAUGUGGUUUAAUUCGAUGCAACGCGAAGAACCUUACCAGGGCUUGAC